UGAAUACGAGAUGCUACGGCGUCGAAGCAGUCUAUGUCAUACUUCCAAGAAAAGCUUGCACUGUCAUAAACAAAUAAUGCCUGUACCAUAACCGACACAGGUGGGUAGGUAGAGUAUACUAAGGGGCGCGAGAUAACUCUCUCUAAGGAACUCGGCAAAAUGACUCCGUAACUUCGGGAGAAGGAGUGCCUUAUUUAUAAGGUUGCAAUAACAAGAUCCAAGCAACUGUUUACCAAAAACACAGGUCUCCGCUAAGUCGUAAGACGAUGUAUGGGGGCUGACGCCUGCCCAGUGCCAGAAGGUUAAAGAAGUUGGUUAGCAUCCGCGAAGCUGAUAACUGAAGCCCUGGUGAACGGCGGCCGUAACUAUAACGGUCCUAAGGUAGCGAAAUUCCUUGUCGGGUAAGUUCCGACCCGCACGAAAGGCGUAAUGAUUUGGAUACUGUCUCGGAGAGGGGCUCGGUGAAAUAGACUUGUCUGUGAAGAUGCGGACUACCUGCACCAGGACAGAAAGACCCUAUGAAGCUUUACUGUAACCUGAAAUUGAAAUUGGACUUUACUUGCGCAGUAUAGGUGGGAGGCGUUGAGAAUAUUCUUGCGGGAUUAUUGGAGCCAUCAGUGAGAUACCACUCUUGUAAUGUUAGAUUUCUAACUUUGUAUCAUUAUCUGGUCAAAGAACAGUUUCAGGCGGGCAGUUUGACUGGGGCGGUCGCCUCCUAAACGGUAACGGAGGCGCACAAAGGUUUCCUCUGAACGGGUAGAAAUCGUAUCUAGAGUGUAAAGGCAUAAGGAAGCUUGACUGUGAGACCUACAAGUCGAGCAGGGACGAAAGUCGGUCUUAGUGAUCUGACGGUGCUGAGUGGAAAGGCCGUCACUCAACGGAUAAAAGUUACUCUAAGGAUAACAGGCUGAUCUCCCCCAAGAGUUCACAUCGACGGGGAGGUUUGGCACCUCGAUGUCGGCUCAUCGCAUCCUGGGGCGGUAGUACGUCCCAAGGGUUGGGCUGUUCGCCCAUGAAAGCGGUACGCGAGCUGGGUUCAGAACGUCGUGAGACAGUUCGGUCCAUAUCCGGUGUAGGCGUUAGAAUAUUGAGAGGAGCCUUCUUUAGUACGAGAGGACCGAGAAGGACAUACCUCUGGUGUACCAGUUAUCGUGCCAACGGUAAACGCUGGGUAGCUAUGUGUGGAGUGGAUAACCGCUGAAAGCAUCUAAGUGGGAAGCCCACCUCAAGAUAAGUAUUCUCA
rnacentral:rRNA from 1 species